rnacentral:antisense_RNA from 1 species
CUUGGCGUUGGGAUUACGCCGUAAUAACUCGUUUCCCACCGCAUGCAUCAAGUGCGUCUUGCCCAGCCCCACGCCACCGUA